rnacentral:rRNA from 1 species
UACGGAGGGUGCGCGCGUUACCCGGAAUCACUGGGCGUAAAGGGCGCGUAGGCGGUCUAGCCAGUCUGGUGUGAAAGCCCAGGGCUCAACCCUGGAAGGGCACUGGAAACUGCUAGGCUUGAAUUCCGGAGAGGAGGGGGGAAUUCCCGGUGUAGCGGUGAAAUGCGUAGAUAUCGGGAGGAAUACCGGUGGCGAAGGCGCCCCUCUGGACGGAGACUGACGCUGAGGCGCGAAAGCGUGGGGAGCAAACAGG